rnacentral:rRNA from 1 species
UACGUAGGGGGCGAGCGUUGUCCGGAUUUAUUGGGCGUAAAGAGCGUGUAGGCGGCCAGAAAAGUCCGCUGUGAAAACUCGAGGCUCAACUUCGAGCUGUCGGUGGAAACUUUCUGGCUAGAGUCCGGAAGAGGAGAAUGGAAUUCCUGGUGUAGCGGUGAAAUGCGCAGAUAUCAGGAAGAACACCCGUGGCGAAGGCGGUUCUCUGGGACGGUACUGACGCUGAGACGCGAAAGCGUGGGGAGCAAACAGG